UACGUAGGGGGCAAGCGUUGUCCGGAUUUAUUGGGCGUAAAGAGCGUGUAGGCGGUCAGGUAGGUCCGUUGUGAAAACUCGAGGCUCAACCUCGAGACGCCGAUGGAAACCAUCUGACUAGAGUCCGGAAGAGGAGAGUGGAAUUCCUGGUGUAGCGGUGAAAUGCGCAGAUAUCAGGACGAACACCCGUGGCUAAGGCGGCUCUCUAGUACGGUACUGACGCUGAGACGCGAAAGCGUGGGGAGCGAACAGG
rnacentral:rRNA from 1 species